rnacentral:lncRNA from 1 species
CAAAGUUGUGAUUGACACAAACCAACUGAAACCAAUGGAUACAAAACCCUUCCGUGGUUAGCUAAACCGGCAGAACAUAGAGAUAUCUUCGGGGACUAGAGCUCACAACGGGGCAACAUACAAGAUUAAGAAAUAUUACAACCUUAACACAAGUGAUUAAGCUUCCAAACUUCUAGCAUAAGUCUAAACAUAACAGGGAAACUGUCCGAAAGGAUCUCUAUGACACGUAUUUAGUGAGAAUGCCCUCGGCCAGACCACCGCUAAACCACCUCCUCCUAGAACUCUGAGGAAACACCUCAAGGACCCAGUAACAGAACCUUCAUAAUCCGGCAAGUAAAGAAUCUUCCUAACACUUCCGGAAACGGCUUGAUCUACGACGACCAUAGAACGCCUAGGUAUGAAGCGACCAACACAACAGACUCCGCUCGAUCUGAACAAACAACUAGGAGCGAGGCCCACCAAAUCCGGAAAACACGAACAGGCCGCAAACAGCAUAAGCCGUGAACAGCAAAAUAGAGGACAAGAUGGAAGCUACAGCAGACUCAAAGAGGACAAACAUCACCUGCAGAAAAAGACCAAGCCAGAAGCAAAGGAGACCCGCAAAACAAAUGGACAAACAGAUCCAGACAAGGGCUUCGAGAAAAGGCUAUUGUAGCAAAACUACACCGUCAAUCCACAGAUCCGGAACUUUUGAAACAAAACACCAACCUGAAUCUGAAAGCCUUUUCCUUUCUUUGGCAAGGGCGAAUCUCCUCCCAAAACGAAAGUAAAUCACACAGAUGAACAAAUACACAAACUUUGAACACGGUCAGAGAGUUCGAAACACAACGACACCCGUAGCUGCUCCUCUCUACUGCGUCGAGCCUCCAGAACAGACUGACUCACCGUGGAGCCACACACCCUCACGAGCAGGUGACUAUACCAACAGAAACCCUCUGACCAGAGACACAGACAAGGCGGUAACAGGGCAAAGACGGAUGUCGAGCAAAAGAGAGGCGAUACUAGAGGAGGAGGAAGCCUCCGGCGCUGGCACGCGCGCUCACGCGCCGUCCGGACGCCGGAGCGUUAUCAGAUCUGCUUUUUGGUUCGAGAGAGAAAGCG